AUUGAACGCUGGCGGCAUGCCUAACACAUGCAAGUCGAACGGCAACACGAGUGCGUUCGCCGGUUGGCGAGUGGCGAACGGGUGAGUAAUACAUCUGAAGAUAACCUGUCGUGGGGGGUGGCCCGCCGAAAGCCAGAGUAAUACCGCACGCGAACCGCGGCAGAAAGCGGGGGGCCUUCGGUACUCGCGCUAUCGGUUGGGCGUGUCGAUGUGUGAUUAGCUAGUUGGUGGGGUACCGGCCUACCCAGGCGACGAUCCGUAGCUGGUCUGAGAGGACGACCAGCCACACUGGGACUGAGACACGGCCCAGACUCCUACGGGAGGCAGCAGUGGGGAAUUUUGGACAAUGGGCGAAAGCCUGAUCCAGCAAUGCCGCGUGUGUGAAGAAGGCCUUCGGGUUGUAAAGCACUUUUGUCCGGAAAGAAAUCCUUGACGCUAAUACAGUCGGGCGAUGACGUUACCGGAAGAAUAAGCACCGGCUAACUCCGUG
rnacentral:rRNA from 1 species